CCGGGGCUUUCAGCACAGAUGAGAAGUCUAAAAAUUUCCCUUUUCAUUUCCUCUCUUGUGUGACUUUGUCAUUUUUAAAAAAACUGGUCACAGAAAAGGGAAUUUUGCCCAUGCUUUUAAGGAGUUUAUCUCGACUGAGUAGCUUCCCUGCCACUCCUCUAAAAUCCCUCCUCAAAAACCCCAAGUUAAAAAAAAAAAAAGAUCUAUUCUUGUAGAUUUUUUUGUGUGGGUCUAUGUUUCAUUCAUCUGCUUUCAGGCCGGAUUUAUAACAAGCAGAUCUUUUAAAACGCUUCAGGAAAAAGAGGACCUUAGAACUGAAGGAGCAAGAUUCCAACAUCACACUGUUUUUGUUAGCUGUGUGUGUGUGUUUCCUGUGUAUCCAAAAGACAGAGGAGAUGAAAAAGCAAAAGAAAAGAAACGAGGAAUCAGAUUGGAAAGAAGGUUUCUCCAGAACGUCACCUGUAUGAGGUACACAGUGUGAUGACACACUCUGUGCUUUUCCUACUUGUGUCCAUGUGAGUGUCUGGAGCUGCCCUUCAAGGAAAGCAACAGAUGAAUGAUUUUGCCUUCCUGCUGAGAGGGAUGCGGGUCCUGCGGAUGGUCGGGGUGAAGCUUCCUCUCCUUUCUG
rnacentral:lncRNA from 1 species